CGGGUUCAGACGAUCGCUGGCCAUCGCGGCUGGAGGAAAGUCCGAGCUCCAUAGGGCAGGAUGCCAGGUAACGCCUGGUGGGGGUGACCCCGAGGAAAGUGCAACAGAGAGCAGACCGCCGCGCCGCCUUUGGGCUGCGAGGUAAGGGUGAAAGGGUGAGGUAAGAGCUCACCGGAUCCCCGGUAACGGGCGAUCGCGAGGCAAACCCCAUCCGGAGCAAGAUCAAAUAGGGGAGCAUAUGAGGCGGCCCGUCUCCGCUCCCGGGUAGGUCGCUUGAGGUCUCCGGCGACGGGGAUCCCAGAGGAAUGAUCGUCGCUCCUGUCCCGGUGACGGGAAGGAGAACAGAACUCGGCUUAUGAGCCCGUCGG
rnacentral:RNase_P_RNA from 1 species